rnacentral:tRNA from 1 species
ACCUGGCUGGCUCAGUUGAUACAGCAUAAGACUCUUGAUCUUGGGGUCGUGGGUUCAAGCCCCACGUUGGGUA